rnacentral:rRNA from 2 species
UACAGAGGUCUCAAGCGUUGUUCGGAAUCACUGGGCGUAAAGGGUGCGUAGGUGGCGUGGUAAGUCAGAUGUGAAAGCCCGGGGCUCAACCUCGGAACUGCAUCCGAUACUGCUGUGCUAGAGUACUGGAGAGGUGACUAGAAUUCUCGGUGUAGCAGUGAAAUGCGUAGAUAUCGAGAGGAAUACCAAAGGCGUAGGCAGGUCACUGGACAGUUACUGACACUGAGGCACGAAGGCCAGGGGAGCAAACGGG